AUUGAACGCUGGCGGCAUGCCUUGCACAUGCAAGUCGAACGGCAGCACGGGAGCAAUCCUGGUGGCGAGUGGCGAACGGGUGAGUAAAGUAUCGGAACGUGCCCAGUCGUGGGGGAUAACGUAGCGAAAGUUACGCUAAUACCGCAUACGAUCUAUGGAUGAAAGCGGGGGAUCGCAAGACCUCGCGCGAUUGGAGCGGCCGAUAUCAGAUUAUGUAGUUGGUGGGGUAAAGGCUCACCAAGCCGACGAUCUGUAGCUGGUCUGAGAGGACGACCAGCCACACUGGGACUGAGACACGGCCCAGACUCCUACGGGAGGCAGCAGUGGGGAAUUUUGGACAAUGGGCGAAAGCCUGAUUCAGCCAUGCCGCGUGCAGGAUGAAGGCCUUCGGGUUGUAAACUGCUUUUGUACGGAACGAAAAGGUUUGGCCUAAUAAGCUGAGCUCAUGACGGUACCGUAAGAAUAAGCACCGGCUAACUACGUGCCAGCAGCCGCGGUAA
rnacentral:rRNA from 1 species